rnacentral:rRNA from 1 species
GACGAACCGUGCGAACGUUAUUCGGAAUCACUGGGCUUAAAGCGCGUGUAGGCGGGGCGGCACGUCCGUCGCUGAAAUCCCCCGGCUCAACCGGGGAACUGGCGGGGAUACGACCGUCCUGGAGGGACGUAGGGGGACCUGGAACUUCCGGUGGAGCGGUGAAAUGCGUUGAGAUCGGAAGGAACGCCCGUGGCGAAAGCGAGGUCCUGGACGUUUUCUGACGCUGAGACGCGAAAGCCAGGGGAGCGAACGGG